CUUUUUUUGCGUACACGCUCUAGUUUUGUCACCGAGAACUUCCAUGAGUGUUAGCAUCGUGUCAUCAGCUUCCAAGUGAACAGAGAAAGCGCGCCACGUGACACAUGUCCAAAACAGACGUAUCUGUGGGUAAACAUUUUCCAAGCUAAAAAUUGCAGUGUUAAUGCGAUAAGAAUGUACUUGUCCAUACCCAAACCCCUUCUUGAGACCCAUCUUUUCAGGUCCAGUCCGUUUUUGAACCAAAAACGUCCUGUAUGUGCGCCUUGACGGACGUGAAAUGAAGUAUAUUACAGGGAGGAACCCAAGCAAGACCCACGAGGAGAAGGUUGGAGAGGCGCGCGCGAGUCCAGCGACGGCACGGCAGACCCAUGUGGGCGCGGGCCUCGGAAGGCGCGUUUGUGUGUGACGGAAGCGAGAGAGCAGCCUGCAACGUCAGACAAAGACAACAGUACAGAAAUGAAAGUGUGCGAAGCCCCCACUGUGGGUGUAUUCCCUGUAGAAAGCCUAAAAGCAGAGCCGUGUUUGAACGGAGAGCGCGAGACAUUGCCUUGGCUGGCCGAUUGAGUUGGUCAAUGUAGAAAAUGUGUGUGUAGUAAACAGUAGGCAGUAACAGUGAUGAAUGCAUAGCAGUACGUGGAUGCGUGUUGUUGUCAGUGUUCAUGAGUCUUACACAAUGUGUGAGAAGAGAUCCCUUUGUGUGUCUUUGUUGGUGUGUGUGUCAGAGGCUCCCAAAGAAGUGAAAUGAUGGCCAGAGAAGCCAAUGAAUUAGUUGCGCAUUGAGCAGUUUUUAUCCGAGCCAGCAUAAAUGAACACGAUACUGUUGAUAUAUGCGCCAGCAUACGGCCAGCGUCCGUGGGCCGGAAACUCCCCUUCAGCAAGGCGCCAGAGGAUAGGCCGACGUCCU